AAACAAACAAACGGAAUCAGAAAUAGAGAAACUAGUGAGAAU
rnacentral:guide_RNA from 1 species